GGCCCGUUGGUCAAGCGGUUAAGACACCGCCCUUUCACGGCGGUAACACCAGUUCGAGUCUGGUACGGGUCACCA
rnacentral:tRNA from 1 species